GACGAACGCUGGCGGCGUGCUUAACACAUGCAAGUCGAACGGAAAGGCCCUACUUUUGUUGGGUUCUCGAUUGGCGCACGGGUGAGUAACCCGUGAGUAACCUGCCCUUGACUUUGGGAUAACUUCAGUAAACUGGGGCUAAUACCGGAUAGGAGCUCCUGCUGCAUGGUGGGGGUUGGAAAGUUUCGGCGGUUGGGGUUGGACUCGCGGCUUAUCAGCUUGUUGGUGGGGUAGUGUCUUACCAAGGCUUUGACGGGUAGCCGGCCUGAGAGGGUGACCGGCAACAUUGGGACUGAGAGACGGCCCAGACUCAUACGGGAGGCAGCAGUGGGGAAUAUGGCACAAUGGGAGGAAGCCUGAUGCAGCAACGCGGCGUGCGGGAUGACGGCCUUCGGGUUGUAAACCGCUUUCGCCUGUGACGAAGCGUGAGUGACGGUAAUGGGUAAAGAAGCACCGGCUAACUACGUG
rnacentral:rRNA from 1 species